UGGGGAAUAUUGCACAAUGGGGGAAACCCUGAUGCAGCGACGCCGCGUGAAGGAAGAAGUAUCUCGGUAUGUAAACUUCUAUCAGCAGGGAAGAAAAUGACGGUACCUGACUAAGAAGCCCCGGCUAACUACGUGCCAGCAGCCGCGGUAAUACGUAGGGGCGAAGCGUUAUCCGGAUUUACUGGGUGUAAAGGGAGCGUAGACGGAUCUGCAAGUCUGGAGUGAAAGCCCGGGGCUCAACCCGCAGACUCAUUGGAAACUGUUGAUCUUGAGUACCGGAGAGGUAAGCGGAAUUCCUAGUGUAGCGGUGAAAUGCGUAGAUAUUAGGAGGAACACCAGUGGCGAAGGCGGCUUACUGGACGGUAACUGACGUUGAGGCUCGAAAGCGUGGGGAGCAAACAGGAUUAGAUACC
rnacentral:rRNA from 1 species